CAGCAGCCGCGGGAAAACGUAGGGUGCAAGCGUUAAUCGGAAUUACUGGGCGUAAAGCGUGCGCAGGCGGUUAUAUAAGACAGAUGUGAAAUCCCCGGGCUCAACCUGGGAACUGCAUUUGUGACUGUAUAGCUAGAGUACGGCAGAGGGGGAUGGAAUUCCGCGUGUAGCAGUGAAAUGCGUAGAUAUGCGGAGGAACACCGAUGGCGAAGGCAAUCCCCUGGGCCUGUACUGACGCUCAUGUACGAAAGCGUGGGGAGCAAACAGGAUUAGAUACCCCGGUAGUCCCUGUCUCUUAUAC
rnacentral:rRNA from 1 species